AAUAAAUUUAUUAAGUUUAUUAAGUAAAUUUAACAAGUUAUUAAGUUUGUUAACAAAAUCAAUUAAGUUUAUUAAAAUUAAUAAAUCAUUAAGUUUAUUAAGUUUAGUAAAUUACAGAUUGACACCAUUAACUUAGCUUAAAAUCAAUUAAACCCGAUUGUGAUGUUGCCACCAUAUUAUUAUUUACUUUGUACAUGUGACAUGUAUUAACAUAAACUUCGUGUAGUUGUUGACACAUUCUCAUACACUGGAUGGUUUCCACCAUAUUAGUGUAAACUUCGUGUAGCUAUGAAACUUUUUUCCUUUUAAGAAUAAAGAAAUACUUAUAAUUAAUACUAGAUUUUGACCCGCGCUUAAAAGCGCGGGUUAUUUUUCAGUUGAUAAAAAUAUAUGAUAUGAAUUAGUAUUUUAGUCUUAUUAUACAUUAUUAUGUUACAAAAUUAUUAUUAUGUCAAAAAAAAUUAUUAUUAUGUAAUUAUAUUUUUAAUCGUUUGAUUACUUUUUUCAAAAAAAAUUAUAUGGAUUGAUCAGACUCAGUGCGUCUAUUAUUUUAAAAUAAAUUAUUUUUAAUUAGAUGAGAACAAUACUUUUAUAUUAAGUUUGGACCCGUCGUCGAACCAGUAAACACGAUGACUUGUACAUAAGCUGGUUUAGUUUUAAUGAAAACUCGUUAAUUUAAAGCAUGCAAACUUCGAAAAAAUAUGCAAUCAAGUGUGACCCGGCAUUUGGUUUACAUGGUAGGAAAAAAAUAAUCUUCAAUAAUAUUUUAAGAGAUGAAUGAAACUUCUAAGGGGAAAUUUUACUUAUAUACUUUUUAUGAUACCACUUUUCAACUUUACCAUCAAUCAAAAGGCAUUUUCAAAAAUACCACAUUCAUUAAUGUGUAAAAGACAAUAUUGCCCUUAACUUAUCUUCAACUCAUUUCUCUCUCUCUCUCGUGAAUCUCCGUCCGUCGUCUAUCGUCUCUGUUCAGAUCCGCUGUUUUCCGUUCAGAUCCGCCGUCUCCGUUCAGAUUCGCAGUCUCUGUCCUCCAGAUCCACCGUCUCUGUCCUGAACCGACGUCUUCGUCCAGAUUCGUCGUCUUCGUCCAGAUCCACGAAGCAAUCGAGAUCGAGACUCAAAACUUCAAAUGUUGAAUCCUCAGCAAAAAUCACAACCUAUUGCAGAGUCUGUUUCUUCUAGCAGCGAUAAAAAGUAUGAUAUAACGCAAGUGAAGGCUCCACCUCAGCUGCUGAAAACGAUGUGUUAAGUAACUCAAUCAACUAAAAGACAAUUUAGAAAGGCUUAUAAGACAGUUUAUAAAGUUUGUUAAAUAAUUUAUAAGGUUUAUAAAUUCUGCACAAUUUUGAAGUUAACUACGAGGUAUUGUGAUACUUCAACAGAACUACUAGACAAGCCAAAACUGAUCAUCCAACGUUCAAAUAUGAAUUAUGUUGAAAAUGAUUUUUUGUAUUUUAGGUAAGGAGGAAUUUAGUGAAAUUGAGAAUUCACACCUUGCGGAAGUGUUGUAGAACUAGCUAGAAAGAAUAACAUUCAAUUUUCAGGAAAACCUUAUGCAAAUAAGAUUAUUGAUGAAUGGGGGUAGAUCUAUGGUUCACUUUCUCAUAUCAACCAAUGGGGUUAGAUCUAUGAUUAUUGAUGAAUGUAAAUAAUUUAUAAAAGUUUAUAAAAAACGUUAUGAAAGCAUACAUUCAAUUUAUAAGGGUAAUAUAUGAGUUCCAUAGGUUUAUAAAUCAACUAAAAGAGUCUAUAACAAUUUAGAAAGCCUUAUAAAACAAUUUAUAAUGGUUUGUAUAAUAAUUUAUAAUGGUUUAUAAGGGUAUGUAAAUAAUGUAUAUGGGUUUAUAAAAAUAAUUUAUUAAGUUUAUACACCAAUAUAAAUAUUAUAAAAUAAUUUAUGUGGGAAUUUAAAAUUUUUGAAGCGGUGGAGUCUUGAUUGCUGUCCACAUGUACCUCAGAAUCUGCCACGUAUCAUCAACUCCUUACAAAUCCUUAUAAGGAUAUGUAAAAUUAUUUGUAAGAGUUUAUAAACCAUUAAUAAAUGCAUAUAAAAAAAGUUAUAAAAUCUAUAAACCAUUUAUAAAUGUUUAUAAGAAAGUUAUGAAAGCUUAUAAAUAAUUUAUAAGGGGUAUGUAUACUAUUAAUAAGAGUUUAUAAAAACUUUAUGAAAGAUUAUAUUCAAUUUAUAAGGGGUAUUAUAAGAGUUGUAUAGGUUUAUAAAUCAACUAAAAGAGUCUAUAACCAUUUAGAAAGCCUUAUAAAAUAAUUUAUAAUGGUUUGUAUAAUAAUGUAUACGGGUUUAUAAAAAUAAUUUAUAAAGUUUAUACACCAUUAUAAAGGAUUAUAAUAAAACAAUUUAUAAGGAUAUGUAAAAUUUCUGAAGCGGUGGAACCGUGCUUGCUGUCCACAUGUGCCUUAGAAUCUGUCACGUAUCAUCAUCUCUUUACAAAGCCUUAUAAGGGUAUGUAAAAUUAUUUGUAAGAGUAUAUAAACACAAAAAAGACAUAUCUGGUGAAAAAGCCACGUCCUUCAACAAGGGAUAUAUUGCUUUAACAUUGUCUGAGAACAUCAAGGCUUCUCCAUAUCUCACUCUUCUAUAAAAGAAACAAUUGAAACCAAACUCACUUACAUGUCCAACUAAUAUCUUCAACUAUGCAACUACUAAAAGAGAGAUACAAUUAUUUUAGUAUAAGAGAUGUCUAAAUAAGAUGAGAGAGAAGAAUGUACUAAGAAGCCAACUCUGCAACUUUUAUAAAGCGUUAUAAAUACGUAAUUCUUUGAUAGCACAAACCACAUUCUUCUUCAGAGUCUCUCUUGCCUCUUCAAACAGCUCACCAACCUCGUAAAUUUUCAAAAUCUGAACAAAAACCAGUCACAUAUUAUUUCUACGCAUCAGCAUUCACUUCCAAAAAUAAGAUUCAAAAAUAGUAUGCUUUCGUAACUCAACAAACUCGUCAUUCAUCUCCAUUGCUUCUAUAGAUAUUAUACACAAAACAAGACAUAAAAAAUAAACUCACAAAGUAUAAAUAGAACGUUACACUACCAAAACACUAACCUUCCACCUCAUAUACUGCACAUACUAAAACAUUGCUAGUCAAACUACAAAUAGUAGCAUUGUAUUACCUUAAGGAAGUGAGAUACUUAGAUAUGCAUAUCACCACACAUAUUCUCCACAACAUCCUUUAAAUCCAAAAGCUGACAACACACAUUUGUAAUUCUCUGCAACAUCACCAAAUCAACCAAGAAAAGAAGUAAUCAUAGAAUAAUUAUACUCUUAGGUUAGUACCUUCUCAUGAAUUAAAUAAUUAUAUAAAUCUGAAAACUAUGACAAUAAAUCAACCAAAUCAAUAAUUGUACUCUUACGUUAAGCUUUGUGUCUUUUGAUUGCUAACAGAUCAACAGUAAGAUUUGAAAGGACCCAAUUUAUAAAAUCUUAUAAAUUUGAGAUCUGAAAAUUUCACUUGAAAAACUUCGUCUUCUUUCUUAGAAACAUAUCGAUUUUGAUAAAUCAAGCUAAAAUUACAGAAAGAGGCAAAAAUCACCAUAUACUAUCAUCUUACCUUUGUUAGUGUUUCUUAGGCGUUGGGAGAGAGAUCGUCUCGUUCGUCUAAGCUUGUCGAGUCUGUCAGCUUUGCCGGAGAACUUCUCGGCAUGCGAUUCGUGACGAACGUGACCGAUUUAGCAUCGGAGGGUUACUACGACUACAUAAUGCCGGCGGAAGAACGGCGGGAUAUCUACUCGCCGCCACGCUCUCCCAAUCCGGUCGAGUUCGUCGGAGAUCGUCGAGUUCGCCGGAGAUCGCCAAGUUCGCCGGAGAUCGCCGAAUUCGCCGGAGAUCGCCGAGUUUGCCGGAGAUCUCGUUGGAGCUCGUCUCAAUUUGAUCUCAUUUUCAUCUCGUGACAAACAUUUGGAGAAGAAUAGAUCUAGGUUAAAUUAAUGAAAUGAGGGGUAUAAUGGUACUUUAGCCAUUAAAAUUUUAAUGGUAAAUUUGAAAAGUGUAAAGUUGAAAAGUGGUAUUAGGAAAGUGGUAUUAGUGGCAA